AAAAAUUAGCCGGGUGUGGUGGUGUGCGACUGUAAUCCCUGCUAAUGGGGAGGCGGAGGUUGCAGUGAGAGGAGAUCGCACCACUGCACUGCAGCCUGGGCGACAAAGCAAGACUCCAUCUCAAAACAAACAAACAAACAAACAAACAAACAAAAAACAGACGAAAUAGGGUUUGAGUAUGUAGUCUGCUCUCAACAUGAGAUAGUAAAGUCUUUGCUUCCCUUAUAUUCUGUUAAUUAACUCAUUUGAUGCACAUCGAUGUAUAAAGCCUUUAACUUCUAUUUAUUCUUUUCCUUGAAAAGCAUGCGGAAUGCCUUCUCAGGACUCUCCCAUUUUUUAUUUGUGAACACCCACUGGCAUUCCCGGAUACGAAGCUUGCAAGAAGGUGUGAACCGCCCUAUACUCGUGAGCCCCUGGGGCUCUGUACUCUUUCCAGCCCACAUUUGACCUCAGUCAAUUUUUAAAUGAUUCCAGCUAAAUUCUUCUUACCAGUGCCCAGCUGUACCUGCCUUAGGUAAUCCUCUUACUCUGGGCUAUGAACUUGCUACUGCCAAGAUGGAUGCCAUGAAAAAAAGAGAUCUCAUCAAAAUGGUCACAGAGAGAUGGAGGGCCUCUGUGUAGAUGGCAGGGUGGUGGUGGCCGUGUAACUAGCUGCCCGGUGAGGAGCAGCCCUUGGGGAGAGCCCAGGUAGGACCAGGAGAAGCAGAAAUAGAGAAAAGUGAAAGAUCGAGGUGGAAAGAACAUGAGGGACAAGAGCUCUGCAUGGCCACAUCACCAGCAGUCUUGUUAUUACAAUGAGGAUGAAGGGACUGAAAAGAGGGGAAGAGAUGGAAUUCAUCAAACAACAGUGCUCAUUCAUACAAGGUUCUGCUCUUGGGUGCUAUCUCCUUAGUUUUGAGAAUAUGAAGGUUUGUUUAGAAAAAAAAAAGCAGAAAAAAUUCACUGGAAGAUUUCACAUUUGUAUAUAUCUUUAUGAAAUGUGACAGUGAAGUGUUAGGGUAGAGAUAUUUGAUCUGAUUACCAUUAGGAUAAAAUCAAAUCUCCUUACCAUGUCUUACAUGUGUACUUGUCCAAUCUUGUCUCCUAUAAUUGUCCAACCAACCCGUUCUGUUCCAGCCUCACUGGCCUUCUUAUUCUUUCACGAAGCUCACACUGUCCUCCAGAGCCUUGCACUCUCUUUUGCCUGGAAUGCUCUCCCAGAUCUUAACAUGAUAGGAAAACAAAAGACAACUGUUUGUCAUGUCUACUACAGUCUCAGCCCCAUGAGGCAGAGUCCAUGCCCAUUUUCCUUCCAUGCAACAUUCCUGGCACCUAGAGAGUGACUGAUGCAUAAUGGCUGGUAAAAUAUUUGAUUAAAAAAUAUUUUAGUGUAUUUCCUCCCCCAAAAUAUACAUACACAACAGAGGCAGUUAUUUUGUCUAUAUCUUUAGCACAUUUUAGGCAUUUAGUAAAUUUCUGUUGAAUCCAUAUGGAAUUCUUCAGAUUGAUCUGUGAACACUUUAGAUUUGAAAAAGGAGAAAAUCAUAAAACUAAGGGUAAUGGGGAGAGAGCAAAACCAAAGGCAGACAUGGGAAGAUUCUCCUUAUACAAAAUACUUUUUCCAUGUCUAUAAUGAACCCCCAAAUUAUCUGGAUACUUACAACAGUGGUAGCAAGGGAAUGUCUCGUUAAUGCAGGUUCUCUAUUCUCCUCAAUUAAUUUCAGGUCCUUAAUUGUGCAUGACAUAUGAAACAUAAAGGGUGUUUAUUUGCUAAUCACCAGCAUUAAUUAAUUCAAAGACUUACCUGAGAUUCUGUUUGCGCAAUAAAAAUUAAAAAGAUUACUCAGUAAUACAUUGGGAGAGGUGUAACUGGGGCAUUAAAAUACGAAUGUGUGUCUAAUUUUCAAACAUCAUAAGUAUUUUGAAAGCACUUAUACAUAAUCAAUUAAUAUAUGUUGUUAACUAAAUUCAUAUGAAUAAUAUGUGAUAUAAAUUAGUGUUUUGUAUUAAUUUCAAGACAAUUAGAAAGAGAAUGUCACCAUCACUCUUUUGAUUCAAUCAACAGUCCUUAGACUGGUUCCUUGUAAUGAAUUUAAUGGGUUAGUAAAAGCUGUGUUAUUUGAAAUU
rnacentral:lncRNA from 1 species